rnacentral:hammerhead_ribozyme from 1 species
GCACUGCCGAGGAGUCCCAAAAUAGGACGAAACGGUCGUCCAGUGC